ACGAACGCUGGCGGCAGGCUUAACACAUGCAAGUCGAGCGCCCCUCACGGGGAGCGGCAGACGGGUGAGUAACGCGUGGGAAUCUACCCAACUCUACGGAAUAACUCAGGGAAACUUGUGCUAAUACCGUAUACGCCCUUCGGGGGAAAGAUUUAUCGGAGUUGGAUGAGCCCGCGUUGGAUUAGCUAGUUGGUGGGGUAAAGGCCUACCAAGGCGACGAUCCAUAGCUGGUCUGAGAGGAUGAUCAGCCACAUUGGGACUGAGACACGGCCCAAACUCCUACGGGAGGCAGCAGUGGGGAAUAUUGGACAAUGGGCGCAAGCCUGAUCCAGCCAUGCCGCGUGUGUGAUGAAGGCCUUAGGGUUGUAAAGCACUUUCACCGGAGAAGAUAAUGACGGUAUCCGGAGAAGAAGCCCCGGCUAACUUCGU
rnacentral:rRNA from 1 species